rnacentral:rRNA from 1 species
CCUGAGUAAAGUGGCGCACGGGUGAGUAACACGUGGAUCAUCUACCUUUUAGUGGGGAAUACCUCUGGAAACCGGAGACAAUACCGCAUAAGCCUGUAAAGGGAAAGCCGAAAGGCGCUGAGAGAGGAGUCCGCGGCCGAUUAGCUAGUUGGUAGGGUAAUGGCCUACCAAGGCGAUGAUCGGUAGCCGGCCUGAGAGGGCACACGGCCACACUGGCACUGAAACACGGGCCAG